UACGGGGGGAGCAAGCGUUGUUCGGAUUUACUGGGCGUAAAGGGCGCGUAGGCGGCCACCGCAAGUCGACUGUGAAAUCUCCGGGCUUAACCCGGAAAGGUCAGCCGAUACUGCGGGGCUAGAGUGCAGAAGGGGCAACUGGAAUUCUCGGUGUAGCGGCGAAAUGCGUAGAUAUCGAGAGGAACACCUGCGGCGAAGGCGGGUUGCUGGGCUGACACUGACGCUGAUGCGCGAAAGCUAGGGGAGCGAACGGG
rnacentral:rRNA from 1 species